AAGUCGUAACAAGGUUUCCGUAGGUGAACCUGCGGAAGGAUCAUUAACAAAUUCAAACACUGACGUCGCCUCCUGGCGGCCGUGUCGUCCGCUCUUUCUACGUCUUGUGCGUGGAGGGGUGGUGCGACACGGUUGUCCGGAGGUGUACACACACACACACACACUUUGAUUGACAACACCUAGUGAUUAUCUAGUUAAUUUGUAGACAACUUUUAACAAUGGAUCUCUUGGCUCUU
rnacentral:misc_RNA from 1 species